rnacentral:rRNA from 1 species
GACGAACGCUGGCGGCGGGCUUAACACAUGCAAGUCGAACGGAAAGGCCCUGCUUUUGUGGGGUGCUCGAGUGGCGAACGGGUGAGUAACACGUGAGUAACCUGCCCUUGACUUUGGGAUAACUUCAGGAAACUGGGGUUAAUACCGGAUAGGAGCUCCUGCUGCAUGGUGGGGGUUGGAAAGUUUCGGCGGUUGGGGAUGGACUCGGGGCUUAUCAGCUUGUUGGGGGGGUAGUGGCUUACCAAGGCUUUGAUGGGUAGCCGGCCUGAGAGGGGGACCGGCCACAUUGCGACUGAGAUACGGCCCAGACUCCUACGGGAGGCAGCAGUGGGGAAUAUUGCACAAUGGGCGGAAGCCUGAUGCAGCAACGCCGCGUGCGGGAUGACGGCCUUCGGUUUGUAAACCGCUUUCGCCUGUGACGAAGCGUGGGUGACGGUAAUGGGUAAAGAAGCACCGGCUAACUACGUG